UAACUGAGCUACCCAGGCGCCCCCAUACUGGGUGGGUGUCUUGGCAUCCUCUCCCCCGCCCCUCAUCUUGUCCAGCUCAAGUGCCGGGAGGGUCUGGCCCACGGGUGCCUGCAAGGCCGAGAAUGUAACUUCAAACCUGCAAGGUGAACUGUCAGCGGGCUUUAUAACGGACCGACAGUCCGAGACUACAGAUGUGGGGGUGGGGGGCGUGGCCCCCAAGGGAAAUGUCCAGAGGCUCCAGAAGGCGCCUCCGCACCGAAGGGCAGGCGUUCCCACAUUCCGCACAGCCCGAACAGUUAGCGCGGGGUCUCCCAUCCCAGCUGCGCCCUGGCCUGCACUGCGACCUCAGGCCCCUUCCCUGUUUCUUAGUAAAAUGGGGACUCUGAUGACAGGGAUGCCCACGGGCGGGUGCCUGGGAGGAGUCUGUGAGCGAGUCAGGAGCACUUGAGAUCAGCCUUGGCUGAUGGACAUUCUCGGACUUUCGGAGCCUUUCCCGGUGCUUCCAGCUGUGAGCCUCUAGGCUGUUGCUGCGCAGGAGGGCGACAGGAAGGUCCUCCUUGCUGCCAAGCGUGGGAGCUGAGGCGGGUUUGCUACAGGCUCCUGGCUUGCUGAGCCCGUUAGUGUCCAUGUUUGGGGCGCUCACACCAGCACGUGACUCUCGGUGUGGUCACCCGCCCUCUACACGCUCGUCUUCGGCGAAAGUAUCAGUUGCCCAGACUGACCUUGUGUUAAGACGUGUGUACUGGGGAACACAGCGUGUGUUGUUGGCAUUUCUGGAAUAAUAAGCAGCUUCGACGCCCGCUUCCUGCUUUGCUCUCCUGCGGUGUUUUUCUUGAGGGCAAACGGCCACUGUGGCCGUGGGCAGGGCCCGGUCUGGCCUCGGUGGCGUCCAGGGGAGCAGCCGUGGGCUCUGUCUGCAGACUGGCUCAGUGAGUUACCGCAGCCUCUGCUUCGGUAGGUUCACCGGGGGCCUCAGAUCGUUCUGGGCCCCCCGAGCAGGAACAUGGUGUUUCCGGCGCGGGAAAGGCUAAACCGGAUGUGCUUCGGCUGGGCAGUCUCUGUGAUGUGCACGUGCCGUCUUCCGUUCCCGAUUGACAUCGAUGAUGGCGGGGGCGGGUGCUCGAGUGUCGUCCCCGGUGGGUCCGCGUGGCUUGGUCUGAGACCUGGGGCGGAAGAGCCUGCCCGGGACAGGGGAAGGGAUGCUCUGAUGCGGGGUGGUGUGGGCUGAGACCACACGGUCCUCCUUGGCAGUCCCGCAGCCCUCAGGAUGCCUGCUUGUCUUCUCAGUCUGCUGAAGCGCUCCCCUGAUGGGGCUGCUUGACUCUGAACCUGCCCCCCGCCUUUGCGACUGCACCUCGGUGCACGAACGCGGUGUGCUGGGCGCUGUUGGCGAGGGGAGGGCAGCCCCGAACCCACGGGAGGGGACUCGGGAGGACGUUUCGUGUGGCUGAUGCCAGCGGUCUCCCGCUCCUUCGGUCGCAGCUCCUUCAUGCCUGCCUGGGCGCGGCGACGGUGUUUUCCCCAAAGAACACAUAAUUUGAAAUAGGCUGCGGUAGGACGUCCUUGGGCUUCAGCAUCUCUGGCUUUUGUUCCUCUGGAUUGUGUGAGAGAGGGUUGAAGUAGGGGCAGGAGCCCAGGCUGCCAAAGACUUUUCAGCGUAGCAGUAGAUCACAAAACGCGUGGUCCGCGAGAAGUGAUUUUUAAUGUCAACAACAGCCGUGGAACACAAAAGGCCUGUAGCAGGAAACGGAAUGAAAACAACCGCAUAAGAGUUACAGCGAGUCAUGGUUUUGAAGUUCCCUCUCUGGCCACUAGGGGAUGCAAUCCCACACCACCCUGCUCUCUCUGGCAACUUGGUCCAGUUCUAGGUUUUUAAUGCGGCCGAGCCCUUAUUUCACCAGAAAGUUAUGCGGAAGGUUAAUCUGCAGGGCUAGGCUCUUUGUUAGGAAUCUGCCAGGGUGUCCCAGUUGCACACGGUGUCUGGGAAGUGUUGAUCAUGUCGUGGACGAGCUGAACCAAACCCCGGGCACGGGACACUGGCGCUUGGGGAGAAGAGGGUGUCCUGAUGCGACGUUCCAUCCGGAUUCACUCCGGAUUCCCCACCCGACAACAGGUGGCUUUACUCCGUGUGAGCAGAUUUUCUUUGAGACCAUCCCCCUCCCCCAACAGAGUAGUUUGCAGUCGAAGCAUUUCCUGUUCCUGUGUCAGCAGAUUUGCCCCCUGAGAGGAUCCAAGAUCUGCACAGUGUGUCCCUCCCCUUGGCAGCUGUGGGAGGCUCCCACUCGGCCCUGCUGAGCCGUGACUGUGGUGUCCCCAGGACGACUGACCCGGGAAGAGACAUUUGGGUGUAAGCUCCUGGGACAGCCGACCUGGUGCCUUUCACCUCGCGGAUGAAGCCGGAGUCGGGCCACACGUCUCGUCUCAGAGCAGCAGGGCCCCGGGCACGCGGGACUCUGUCCUAGGACUCACCCGCUGGUUUUUUUUUUCUCGCCUGUUGCCCCCUCGCAGGAGCCGUGUCCCUCCUUGCUUUCUCGACGAACAGUAGAUGUGUUUUCAUUUAAAUUACCGCCAAGAAGGCUACAGAAAGCGCAUUCUCCUCGAACCUUUACGAGGCCGAGGCUUGUCCCGGUUUCACGUGGCCAUCCAUAACGAAUGUGGCUAAAACAGCUAUUCGUUCCGGUAUUUGUGCAGAUCAGUAAUGCAGCCACAGCAGAAAACUCGUGCUUUUAUUGCAGACUUAGUUAAAUAUGGAGCCGAGUGAGUCAUUGGAAGGUCACAUGUGUCCGGGCCCGGCAGCCGUGGGGUUGUGGGAUGGUCACCCAGCACCGCUCCAGAAUGCAGCGGCCGACAGCACAGCGCCCAGAUGACCGUGUGGAGUUAAAAGAAGACUUGGCCUUUCUUCGGACGACAAAUUCUUUGUGAAAACCAGACUUGGGUUUUUACCCUGACCUCCACUAGAGGCUCUGUGAGCCGUGUGUGUUCCGUCUUUGCGGCGGUGCUCCCCGCCCCCUCCCUCCCCCCGCCCGUGGGAUACGGUUCUUAAAGCCCAACUUCUGACAUACGUGCCCCUUUGGGAAUUUUCCUCGGUUGUCCUCUAGUGGGGUGAGCUUUGGGCGGAGUCCCCUUCACCCACGUGCCUUCUUUGUUCCAGAUCGCUGCACCCCUUUGAAAGUCAACGGAGGAGAUAGGAGAGAGGAAGGAGUCAAAGUAAAAGAAAGGUGUUCCUUCUCCGGUCAUUGUAGAUACGUGGGAGCCCUGCUGGGUGUUUGCCUUUAGUUUUUUCCCCCCACAGUAACGACGCACAAGUUGCAAAGCGCAGAGGAUUAAAAGGCUGGCGCUGAACAGCCGCUCCCGGUGCCUGGCUUCCCAGGGGCCUGGCCUCGGCGCCCGCUUCGUGCGGCUGUGUCUUCCAAGCGUGCGGGUCUCCUGUUUCUGAGUAACACCCGUGCGCUGCGCCUUUUGACCCAUCGUCUUGAGCCUUGCCCGCUGACUUCCUUUCUGGCCGAUUCAGGCUGAGCACUCACGGACCCCCUCUGCUUCCCCUUCCCCGUCCUCCAGUACAGUCCUCCUGCGCGAUUUCUGUUCAGCCAGCGUUCACGGUUGUCGCGCGGACACAACAGUCGCCCGCCUCCUGGACUCGUCUGGCCAGACCCUCUGCGUCUCCUUCCUGUUCCCCGCCUAGUUGUUGUCUCGUGGUUUCCGUGGCCGAACUUUCUUUGGUGGCCAACUCUCAUUCCUCCAGGGCCCGGAGCCUCUCUGCCUAACUUUGCACAAAGUCAACCACAUCUCCUGAUCUGUGGGCUUGGUCUGUUGCUUAGAUGUGUGAAAGACUUUGCAGACAAUUCAGCUGUGGUGGGAACGUUGUUACAGUUUUGUUACAAUCUCAGGUGCAAGGGGAGAGGCCCCAGGAGGCCAGUCCCCAAGCUGAUCUCAGUUAGGAAUUUUGUAUUUUGCAGGGAAGUUUGGAUUAUUUUACAGGGGAGGUUGGAUUAUUGUUAGAGUAAAUACAAAAAGAGUCCCAGCUAAAGGUCAUCUGGGUGGGUAGGUUUCCUAGGAGAUUCCUUGCAAAUUAUAUCAGGGAGGCCAAUCUUCCCAGAAGGAGGCUAUGAAUUUUAUCAUCUGUCAAAAAUCAGAGCCGGAUUAAAGUGGUAAGAACAGAUUUUAUUCAAAAAAAGGCUCCGUCCCAUGCCAGGUUUAGACUAAUUUGGGGGGGUAAGAUUUUAUUUUUAAGUAAUCUCUACCCCAGAGUGAGGCUCAAACUCACGACCCCAAGAUCAAGAGUUGCGUGCUCCGACUGAGCCCACCAGGCGCCCCUAGACCAAUCUUCAUACCCUCUUUUUGACCUAGACCUCGCCUCUGACUUGCUCAAGAAUGCAUCUUGCUGCAUUUCGGUUCUAAGAACAUAAAUGAAAAGUGUUGCCCGGGUCAGCACUUCCCAAACAACCUGUGCACAACCACCGUCCCCCACCAGGGAUCUGUCAAAUGCAGAUUCUGGCGCAGCAGGGCUGAGGUGGGGCCUGGAACUCUGCAUUUCUCAUGAGCUCCCGAGGGAUGCUGGUCUGGGGGCCACCCUUUGAGGAGUGACGGAGGGCAUUUUUGGUUGCUAGGUACAUCUCCCAUUGAUGAUAGGCUUGGGUGUGGGUUUCAUUUGUGUGGCACAUACCCAGUUGUAGUUACCAGCAGUAUCUACACACACACACACACACACACACACACACGAGCCAGUUUCCUAUAGUAGGGAAGGCCUUACCUGUGCAGCAUGGAGUGGUAAUUUCUUACAGUCUGUGCACCUGGGCCUAGAAUCUGACCCUGAACUCCCUCCUUAUAUACGCUGGGUUCUGUGAGGCCUCUUCUACAGCUAGCUACAGCAAGAAGCAAUGAUAAACAUCUCCUUACCGUUUGCCUCAUAAAACCAAGGUCACAUGAAAUAUAAUA